UACGUAGGCAGCAAGCGUUGUUCGGAAUUACUGGGCGUAAAGAGUGUGUAGGCGGUGCACUAAGUUUGUCGUGAAAUCUCCCGGCUUAACUGGGAGGGUGCGGCGAAAACUGGUGUGCUCGAGGGUGGGAGAGGUAAGCGGAAUUCCUGGUGUAGCGGUGAAAUGCGUAGAUAUCAGGAGGAACACCUGUGGUGUAGACAGCUUACUGGACCACUUCUGACGCUGAGACACGAAAGCGUGGGUAGCAAACAGG
rnacentral:rRNA from 1 species